CUAUACAUGCAAGUCGAGCGGACAGAAGGGAGCUUGCUCCCGGAUGUUAGCGGCGGACGGGUGAGUAACACGUGGGUAACCUGCCUGUAAGACUGGGAUAACUCCGGGAAACCGGAGCUAAUACCGGAUAGUUCCUUGAACCGCAUGGUUCAAGGAUGAAAGACGGUUUCGGCUGUCACUUACAGAUGGACCCGCGGCGCAUUAGCUAGUUGGUGAGGUAACGGCUCACCAAGGCGACGAUGCGUAGCCGACCUGAGAGGGUGAUCGGCCACACUGGGACUGAGACACGGCCCAGACUCCUACGGGAGGCAGCAGUAGGGAAUCUUCCGCAAUGGACGAAAGUCUGACGGAGCAACGCCGCGUGAGUGAUGAAGGUUUUCGGAUCGUAAAGCUCUGUUGUUAGGGAAGAACAAGUGCAAGAGUAACUGCUUGCACCUUGACGGUACCUAACCAGAAAGCCACGGCUAACUACGUGCCAGCAGCCGCGGUAAUACGUAGGUGGCAAGCGUUGUCCGGAAUUAUUGGGCGUAAAGGGCUCGCAGGCGGUUUCUUAAGUCUGAUGUGAAAGCCCCCGGCUCAACCGGGGAGGGUCAUUGGAAACUGGGAAACUUGAGUGCAGAAGAGGAGAGUGGAAUUCCACGUGUAGCGGUGAAAUGCGUAGAGAUGUGGAGGAACACCAGUGGCGAAGGCGACUCUCUGGUCUGUAACUGACGCU
rnacentral:rRNA from 1 species